GUAAGACCCCUUGUAGACGACGAGGUAGAUAGGUUGGAGGUGGAAGUGCAGCAAUGCAUGGAGCUGACCAAUACUAAUCGGUCGAGGGCUUAUCCU
rnacentral:rRNA from 1 species